ACCCUGCUGAUGCCUUGAUUUUGGACUUUUGGCCUCCAGAACUGUGGGGAAUACAUUUCCAUUGUUGGAAGCCACCCAGUCUGUGUCUUUUGUUGCGGCCACCACAGGAAACUCAUACAUCAUGGUAACCAGCUGUUCUCCCGCCUGGCUUCCUCUCCAGACGGCGAACCCCUCAAGACAGGAGCCUUCCUUGACUCAUCUCUGUGUCCCCCUGGGCCCAGCUGUGGACCCGCUUUGUUGAAACAAGUGUGAUGUAAAGACGGUGGCCACCCACUGAGGACCUCCCAGGGCAGUGUGAAGCAUUUCAGCAGAGAGCCUGGCCAGCAGAACCAAUGUAGAGAGCCGCCAAGUCUAAGCUGCCUUUCUCUUUACCAGCUGUUUGCCCCAAAUAGCUAUUGUGUGCACUUGGCUCAGAUCCCAAGAGCAAGUACUCAGGAAUUCUACAGAAAACACGUCAUGUAAAAUACAGCUGAGCUUCCAAGACAAAUUAUGAACACUGGAGGAAUUACAGUCACAUUACAGCAGCAACUGGAUGAUGACUCCCAGCUGGGGUGAUUGGGGUGUUUCUGCUGAGGUUUGCACAACCCUUUUUCAGUAUGUUGCAAAACUUGGCUCCUCAUGUUGCAAAAA